GACGAACGCUGGCGGCGUGCUUAACACAUGCAAGUCGAACGGAAAGGCCCUGCUUUUGUGGGGUGCUCGAGUGGCGAACGGGUGAGUAACACGUGAGUAACCUGCCCUUGACUUUGGGAUAACUUCAGGAAACUGGGGCUAAUACCGGAUAGGAGCUCCUGCUGCAUGGUGGGGGUUGGAAAGUUUCGGCGGUUGGGGAUGGACUCGCGGCUUAUCAGCUUGUUGGUGGGGUAGUGGCUUACCAAGGCUUUGACGGGUAGCCGGCCUGAGAGGGUGACCGGCCACAUUGGGACUGAGAUACGGCCCAGACUCCUACGGGAGACAGCAGUGGGGAAUAUUGCACAAUGGGCGGAAGCCUGAUGCAGCAACGCCGCGUGCGGGAUGACGGCCUUCGGGUCGUAAACCGCUUUCGCCUGUGACGAAGCGUGAGUGACGGUAAUGGGUAAAGAAGCACCGGCUAACUACGUG
rnacentral:rRNA from 1 species